rnacentral:tRNA from 2 species
GGGGGCGUAGCUCAGCUGGGAGAGCGUUCGGUUCGCAUCCGAGAGGUCGAGAGUUCGAAUCUCUUCGUCUCCACCA